rnacentral:rRNA from 1 species
UACGGAGGGAGCUAGCGUUGUUCGGAAUUACUGGGCGUAAAGCGUACGUAGGCGGUUAUUCAAGUCAGAGGUGAAAGCCCGGGGCUCAACCCCGGAACUGCCUUUGAAACUAGAUAGCUAGAAUCUUGGAGAGGUCAGUGGAAUUCCGAGUGUAGGGGUGAAAUUCGUAGAUAUUCGGAAGAACACCAGUGGCGAAGGCGACUGACUGGACAAGUAUUGACGCUGAGGUACGAAAGCGUGGGGAGCAAACAGGG